UACGUAGGUGGCAAGCGUUAUCCGGAUUUACUGGGUGUAAAGGGCGUGUAGGCGGGUCUGCAAGUCAGAUGUGAAAUCUCCGGGCUUAACUCGGAAGUGUCAUCUGAAACUACGGAUCUUGAGUACUGGAGAGGAUAGUGGAAUUCCUAGUGUAGCGGUAAAAUGUGUAGAUAUUAGGAGGAACACCAGUGGCGAAGGCGGCUAUCUGGACAGUAACUGACGCUGAGGCGCGAAAGCGUGGGGAGCAAACAGGAUUAGAUACCCU
rnacentral:rRNA from 1 species